rnacentral:rRNA from 1 species
ACAGGGGUAGCUUGCUACCCGCUGACGAGCGGCGGACGGGUGAGUAAUGCAUGGGAAUCUGCCCGAUAGUGGGGGAUAACUCGGGGAAACCCGAGCUAAUACCGCAUACGUCCUACGGGAGAAAGCAGGGGAUCUUCGGACCUUGCGCUAUCGGAUGAGCCCAUGCCGGAUUAGCUUGUUGGUGAGGUAAUGGCUCACCAAGGCAACGAUCCGUAGCUGGUCUGAGAGGAUGAUCAGCCACACCGGGACUGAGACACGGCCCGGACUCCUACGGGAGGCAGCAGUGGGGAAUAUUGGACAAUGGGGGAAACCCUGAUCCAGCCAUGCCGCGUGUGUGAAGAAGGCCUUCGGGUUGUAAAGCACUUUCAGUGGGGAAGAAUGCCUUGAAGUUAAUACCUUCGAGGAAAGACAUCACCCACAGAAGAAGCACCGGCUAACUCCGUGCCAGCAGCCGCGGUAAUACGGAGGGUGCAAGCGUUAAUCGGAAUUACUGGGCGUAAAGGGCGCGUAGGCGGCUCGUCAAGCCGGAUGUGAAAGCCCCGGGCUCAACCCGGGAACGGCAUUCGGAACUGGCUGGCUAGAGUGCAGGAGAGGAAGGUAGAAUUCCCGGUGUAGCGGUGAAAUGCGUAGAGAUCGGGAGGAAUACCAGUGGCGAAGGCGGCCUUCUGGACUGACACUGACGCUGAGGCGCGAAAGCGUGGGUAGCAAACAGGAUUAGAUACCCUGGUAGUCCACGCCGUAAACGAUGUCGACCAGCCGUUGGAUCCCUUGAGGAUUUAGUGGCGUAGUUAACGCAAUAAGUCGACCGCCUGGGGAGUACGGCCGCAAGGCUAAAACUCAA